rnacentral:rRNA from 1 species
CCUGCAGGCGGUCUUGUAAGUGGGAUGUGAAAUCUCCUGGCUUAACUAGGAGGGGUCAUUCCAUACUGCGGGACUGGAGGGCAGAAGAGGGAAGUGGAAUUCCCGGUGUAGUGGUGAAAUGCGUAGAUAUCGGGAGGAACACCAGUGGCGAAGGCGACUUCCUGGUCUGCUUCUGACGCUAAGAGGCGAAAGCUAGGGGAGCGAACGGGAUUAGAAACCCCGGUAGUCCUAGCCUUAAACGAUGGAUACUAGGUGUCGGUGGUCCUAACCCCAUCGGUGCCGAAGCUAACGCGUUAAGUAUCCCGCCUGGGGACUACGGCCGCAAGGUUAAA